rnacentral:rRNA from 1 species
UAUUGGACAAUGGGCGCAAGCCUGAUCCAGCAAUGCCGCGUGCGUGAAGAAGGCCUUAGGGUUGUAAAGCGCUUUCACCCGUGAAGAUGAUGACGGUAGCGGGAGAAGAAGCCCCGGCUAACUCCGUGCCAGCAGCCGCGGUAAUACGGAGGGGGCUAGCGUUGUUCGGAAUUACUGGGCGUAAAGGGCGCGUAGGCGGCUCGUCGAGUCGGAUGUGAAAGCCCCGGGCUCAACCCGGGAUGUGCAGUCGAUACUGGCGGGCUCGAGUCCGGGAGAGGAUGGCGGAAUUCCCAGUGUAGAGGUGAAAUUCGUAGAUAUUGGGAAGAACACCGGUGGCGAAGGCGGCCAUCUGGACCGGCACUGACGCUGAGGCGCGAAAGCGUGGGGAGCAAACA